AAACUUCUGGGAUGUACGACAACUCUUGUAAUUUUGAACCUACAUUUAUUUUUACGGGAAACCGAUAUUUACAUGAGGAUGUCAAGCCAGCUUUGAUUGGAAGACAGAGCCAUGUGUGAGGUAGCCCACCUAGCUUGGCUAGGACUCAAAAUGCAGGAAACGGCAUCACCGGUUGUUUU
rnacentral:other from 1 species